rnacentral:rRNA from 1 species
AUUGAACGCUGGCGGCAGGCCUAACACAUGCAAGUCGAGCGGAUGAAGGGAGCUUGCUCCUGGAUUCAGCGGCGGACGGGUGAGUAAUGCCUAGGAAUCUGCCUGGUAGUGGGGGAUAACGUCCGGAAACGGGCGCUAAUACCGCAUACGUCCUGAGGGAGAAAGUGGGGGAUCUUCGGACCUCACGCUAUCAGAUGAGCCUAGGUCGGAUUAGCUAGUUGGUGGGGUAAAGGCCUACCAAGGCGACGAUCCGUAACUGGUCGGAGAGGAUGAUCAGUCACACUGGAACUGAGACACGGUCCAGACUCCUACGGGAGGCAGCAGUGGGGAAUAUUGGACGAUGGGCGAAAGCCUGAUCCAGCCAUGCCGCGUGUGUGAAGAAGGUCUUCGGAUUGUAAAGCACUUUAAGUUGGGAGGAAGGGCAGUAAGUUAAUACCUUGCUGUUUUGACGUUACCAACAGAAUAAGCACCGGCUAACUUCGUG